GUUGCGCAAUCGCCGCCGUGUCGAUGUGCUGAUGCGGUCUUCCGGCUUGCAACCGGGAGUCAUCGUCAUCAUGGGGCAGCCAUUGGUCGAGGGCUGUCCAGCGAGCAGCGCCAGCGGAUUGNNNNNNNNNNGCCAGCGUUGCGGCUGUUGCGCGAAGGCGAGGACAUCGACGCCAUCGGGUUGGCCGCGGAUCGCAGAGACCAGAGCAUCGAGUUCCGCCCGUGUCACAGUCUCCGCGAAAUC
rnacentral:misc_RNA from 1 species